rnacentral:rRNA from 1 species
GAUGAACGCUGGCGGCGUGCCUAAUACAUGCAAGUCGAGCGAACAGACGAGGAGCUUGCUCCUCUGACGUUAGCGGCGGACGGGUGAGUAACACGUGGAUAACCUACCUAUAAGACUGGGAUAACUUCGGGAAACCGGAGCUAAUACCGGAUAAUAUAUUGAACCGCAUGGUUCAAUAGUGAAAUACGGUUUUGCUGUCACUUAUAGAUGGAUCCGCGCCGCAUUAGCUAGUUGGUACGGUAAAGGCUUACCAAGGCUAGGAUGCGUAGCCGACCUAAGAGGGUGGUCGGCCACCUUGGAACUGAGACACGGCCCAGACUCCUACGGGAGGCCGCAGUCGGGAAUCUUCCGCAAUGGGCGAGAGCCUGACGGAGCAACGCCGCGUGAGUGAUGACGGUCUUCGGAUCGUAAAACUCUGUUAUUAGGGAAGAACAAAUGUGUAAGUAACUAUGCACGUCUUGACGGUACCUAAUCAGAAAGCCACGGCUAACUACGUG